rnacentral:rRNA from 1 species
UACGAAGGGGGCUAGCGUUGCUCGGAAUUACUGGGCGUAAAGGGAGCGUAGGCGGACUGUUAAGUUAGAGGUGAAAGCCCAGGGCUCAACCUUGGAAUUGCCUUUGAUACUGGCAGUCUUGAGUACGGAAGAGGUACGUGGAACUCCGAGUGUAGAGGUGAAAUUCGUAGAUAUUCGGAAGAACACCAGUGGCGAAGGCGACAUACUGGUCCGUUACUGACGCUGAGGCUCGAAAGCGUGGGGAGCAAACCGG